rnacentral:lncRNA from 10 species
ACCACAUAUGUUAGCCUGCUGGAGGACGACAGCCAGCCAACCUCCAGACAUAAACUUUUAAUGAAUUUAAGGGGAAAAUUAUACAUCUCAACAGAAAGCGCUUACCCUCUCUGAACCAUGUUCCUCCUGUGGUCACAAGAGGCUCAUUAGGCUGGCCUUAAAAACAGCAGUUGGGACAACGAGAAAGCUCCACAGAAAAUCAUGAUGAGCAGUGUUCAUUAUCUAUUCAUGAGCACCUUUCUUGCAUAUUUAGCAUUUGCAAAAUAUUGGAUGUCAUCAGCAUAUGGGAGUCCAGGAGAAAUCUCACCUUCUUGCAAAGACAAAAAUGGAAACGGCUGAGUCUUUCUACCCAGUUGAGGGAACCCAAUCUGAACAUGACGCCUAGUUGUUCUUUGACUCAGUUUAAAUGAUGUGAAGCUGAGCUGUACUCUCUGCAGCCCAAAUAUCUCUGGUUGAACAAAGAACAUUAGCACCUAAGGCCAACAACUCUCAAAGUUUCUGUACUGUGAAUGGUCCAACAGCUGAAAAAACUCAAGUUCAUCUCACCUCCAAUGUCUCUCUUGAAUCUAUUCCUUUCUGUCCAUCUACACAGUUAGAUACUAACCAUCAGCCAUGCCAUCUCUUGCCACCAUACAUCAUUUGUAAUAUAAUUAGUCUCACACUUAUCUCAGUUUCCCAUCUCACUCCUCUCUUAUCUAUUUUCCACAUUACAAACUGAGUGAUUGUUUUGCUUCCUACAACACAGUUCUUAUCAUCACCAUUGUCAUCAUUGAAAUUAUAUUAUCAUAAUUAUCAUAAGUCAGGUCUUAACUGUAAGCAAAAAAAUAAACUCUGGCUAAUUAAAGCAGAAAUAAUGAACUUAAUGGAUAUGGGCUGAUUUCCAUAAUUCCUAGGAAGUCCAGAGAACUAUUUCAGAAGCUACACAUCCAGGAAUCCCUUCUUUUCAGGGAUGCAUGGUGAAGGCACACAGCCUCCACCGCCACACAUUGCCUCUGCAGUUUGCUCUGUUAGCAUUUUGAGGUAGGGCUUCAGAUGUUACUGCUAGAACCACUGCCUCUGCUGACUCUAAGAAUCACAUGCAGCUGCCACCACUAGAACCAACCUCCCCAGAAAGAAGUCUGCAUGGUUGGUUCUUCAUUGCAUAAUGCGAUUCAGACAAAGUCUGAUGCAUCCAAUUAGUGAAUUCUUAGCUAAAUGUCUAUAACUUUGCUUCAUAGGAGAUGGCAUUGCCAACCUUUAAAAUGGACUCUGACUCAAAAGAUAGGAGACUCUCCAACAAAGGAAACAGUGGCCAGGAAGAAUAAUUGAUGUCUACUUUAAUACCAUUUAUUUAGCACCUACUAUAUCCCAAAGACUUCAUAUAUAUUAUCUCUACAAUAUUUCAGCAAAAUAGAUAUUUUUGUCCAUUUUAUACAAUCCUGAACUUUCAGGAUCAAGACAGAACACAAACAAAUGAUGAUGACUGAAACUGGAAAUGUGUUGGUUCAUGCAAUUGAAAUGUGAGUUGUAUGAGAGCAAGACUUAUUUCUCUCAUACAAAGAUAAAUUCUGAAUACCUUUAGUUGUGCCUGGUACAGAUCAGGAAUUCAAUAAAGCAUCCAGCCAGCAAGCUUGAUCCAGGGGCUCAAAAGAUGUCAUUACAAUUCUGCAUCACCCUAUCUCUCUAUUGCACCCACAAUGCAAUAGGGCUCUCUCUUUGUUCCCAGGUGGAUCGGCAGGUUGAGAAAUAAUAGACACACACAAGAUAGUGAAAGCUGGGUCAAGGGGUGUCACCGCCUUUUGGUCUCGCAGUGCCAACAGUGCACUGGAUAUACCAGCAUUU